AGUGGCGAACGGGUGAGUAACGCGUGGGCAACCUGCCCUCUAGCCUGGGAUAACAGUUCGAAAGGACUGCUAACACCGGAUAAGCUCACACUCGGACAUCCGAGAGUGAGAAAAGUUUACACUAGAGGAUGGGCCCGCGUCCCAUUAGCUAGUUGGUGAGGUAACGGCUCACCAAGGCGACGAUGGGUAGCCGACCUGAGAGGGUGAUCGGCCACACUGGGACUGAGACACGGCCCAGACUCCUACGGGAGGCAGCAGUAGGGAAUUUUCCGCAAUGGGCGCAAGCCUGACGGAGCAACGCCGCGUGAGGGAUGAAGGUUUUCGGAUCGUAAACCUCUGUCUUCAGGGACGAUAAUGACGGUACCUGAGGAGGAAGCCACGGCUAACUACGUGCCAGCAGCCGCGGUAAUACGUAGGUGGCGAGCGUUGUCCGGAAUUACUGGGCGUAAAGGGCGCGUAGGCGGCCUAAUAAGUCAGAUGUGAAACCCCCGGGCUUAACCCUGGGCUUGCAUUUGAAACUGUUGGGCUUGAGGACAGGAGAGGAAAGCGGAAUUCCCAGUGUAGCGGUGAAAUGCGUAGAUAUUGGGAGGAACACCAGUGGCGAAGGCGGCUUUCUGGACUGUAACUGACGCUGAGGCGCGAAAGCCAGGGUAGCGAACGGGAUUAGAUACCCCGGUAGUCCUGGCCGUAAACGAUGGAUUUUAGUGUGGGAGGUAUCGACCCCUUCCGUGCCGCAGCCAACGCACUAAGUAUCCCCGCCUGGG
rnacentral:rRNA from 1 species